rnacentral:rRNA from 1 species
UACGACGGGGGCUAGCGUUGCUCGGAAUCAUUGGGCGUAAAGCGCACGUAGGCGGCCUGAUAAGUCGGGUGUGAAAGCCCUGGGCUCAACCCAGGAAGUGCACUCGAAACUGUCAGGCUUGAAUAUGGAAGAGGGUCGCGGAAUUCCCGGUGUAGAGGUGAAAUUCGUAGAUAUCGGGAGGAACACCAGUGGCGAAGGCGGCGACCUGGGCCAAUAUUGACGCUGAGGUGCGAAAGCGUGGGGAGCAAACAGG